rnacentral:misc_RNA from 1 species
GGAAGACCCGCCGAUAAUGGAAAAUCAACGGAACAAAGGGUAGUAGGAGAGUCGGAAGUCAAAAGUAAUUUGGUUGCAGAAGGACGGCUUGUGAAGAACUUAAAUGCUUGUAGGGCCAAAUUUCAGGAUAUUGAUCAGAGAAAACGUGUAGCUGCUGCAGGAAAUCUUUCUGGUAUUGAUGAUUCUGAGGUUGUUGGAUAUCUCAAUAACACGAAGGAGAUUCAUUACAAGACGAUCAUAUGGGAAAAAAUGAAUAAAGAGUUUG